rnacentral:rRNA from 1 species
UACGUAGGCAGCGAGCGUUGUUCGGAGUUACUGGGCGUAACGGGUGCGUAGGCGGUUGUUUAAGUUUGGGGUGAAAUCUCCCGGCUCAACUGGGAGGGUGCGCCGAAUACUGAAUGACUAGAGUGCGGGAGAGGAUAGUGGAAUUCCUGGUGUAGCGGUGAAAUGCGUAGAUAUCAGGAGGAACACCGGUGGUGUAGACGGCUAUCUGGACCGUAACUGACGCUGAGACACGAAAGCGUGGGUAGCAAACAGG